rnacentral:lncRNA from 1 species
GAAAAUUAACUUUUUCCUUUCUUUUCAUUUUAUGCUUUCUUGAGAAAUUAUCUUGUUAAAGGACCUUUUUAAACCUGAUUUUUUACAGAACUAUUGUACAAUUAGUUACACUUCAUAGACCCCAGGAUCAUUAUCGUGUCUGCAUUAUCCCGCUGAAAAAAAUCCCCCCACAUCAAAUAGCUGGAGAUGCCUUAGUGUGAGCCUAUUCCGACCUCCAUAUCCUAUUUACUUUCCUGUCCGGAGGCAAAAGCCAACAGGCUAAUUACUAGCUACGCCAUCAGUGCUUCCCCAAGAGAUCCGGUUGUAUUUGUCUUUACAUCAAUGCAAUCUGCUUCUGCAACUCAUCUGAAGAGUUAAGCCCAGAAAAGAUCAGGACCAAGCACAGAAUUCAGCAAACACAGAAUGAUACAUACACUUGUAUGACCGUGAAAGCCACUCAUGAUGAAAUCAAAAUUUCUAAUAAAUAUCAAUAUCAAUUUAUAAAUAUUCAUUAACAAAUCCAAUUCAAAGAAAACCGUAAUAAUCAAACCAAGAAACCCAAAAAACAUUUUUUUAUUGGAUUGGAUUGCAUUGGUCUUCAAACAAGUUUUGAAUGUACUUUUAAGCCCCAGUAUUUGAGGGCGACUCUUGAAGCAAUGGUAAAUUGAUUGUGACAUGGAGAUCACAUGUUCAAACCCUAGAAACAAUUUCUCUGUUUGUGGAGUUAAGGAUGCAUACAUCUACUCUCUCCAGGCCCCACCUGAUGAAAGCCUUGUGCACUAGGCCUCACAUCUCCUUCAUGAUAAUAUACUCUCUCCAUUCUCUUUUAUAAACAAAUUUUAUGUUUAGGUUCAUGGAAUAAAUAAUGUAUUUAGACCAUAAAAAUAGAGAGGAGAAGAAAAGUGAGAAGAGAGAGAAAUGUGUGGGAUCCACCACUUUUUUCAAUCUCUUCAAAAUAGAGAAGAGAAGAAAAGUGUUAAGUAAAAUGAUACUAACUUGUCAUCUAUACCCCUAUUUUCAUCUAAUUCAAAGUUAUUAUUAAGGACAGUUUUGUAUUUUAAUAAUGAUCAGCAUUUCUCUGUUCUCUAUAUCUCUAUUUCUCUUAUAACAAACAAUACAUCAAAUCUUCUUUAUUUCUCACAUCUUUCUCUCUUCUUCGACUCUCUCUUACAUACUUCUCUCUUUCUUCUAACUUUCUCUUCACAACCAAUCAGACCCUUAGGGAUAUGCAGACUUCCGUGUAACUUUUUAGCCACAUCAAACCUUUAGCCACAUCAUAAUAGAUUUUAAAAGGUUAACUCAAAAAUCUUUUCUUACUACUCAAACUGAUUUCCCAUCCCCACUUUCAGUGAUUAUCCCUCUUUAUACCUUCCCCCCUCAGCACUUUGGGCAACUUGGAUCUAAGGCAGAUGGGUCUCUAGUCUCUACUGUGGAACUUGAUGGUGUACCAGUUCAUUGUGGCGAAGUGAAAAGGUUUAACAAAAACAACAUCAUUUUCUGAAGUAGUUCAUAUAAGUUCAAGAAAUUGACAAUAUCAGAUAAUUGUGCAUUUCGAGAGAUUCUUUUUCUGAGAAAUUCAAUUGACUUGGAUUGGACCAGAUUUCACUGACCUUGCAGAAAACUCUUUUCAAUUAUGCAGGAAAGUCAGGUUCUUGCGGAGACAAAGGACCAGCAACGAUGAGGAUGAGGUUGUUUAGACAGACAUGGAUUGGACAGUGGUGCCUCUGCCACACCUUUCGACCCAUUUUUAGAACGAUAAAUGCUGAUUGUUUUUCUAAACUUUUUCUGCACCACAUCGAUAAUUGUGGUGGAUUGUGAUUGAGUUUUUUAUGUUAAUUAAAUAUUUUUAAUUGGUCGUCUGAAUUGACAAAAUUGAGAAUUAUAAUUGGAUAGUGUAAGGCAAUUGUACACUAACUAACAAUACAUAUCCUUUAACCUCUUAAGUAAACUACAUUAACCUUAGAGAUGUGUAUACAUUUAAAUAAACUCGAUCAGUUUCCCAAAGAAAAUGAAAUUUAAAUUAACUCCAAUUUUCUCUCCACUUACUUAUUUUUCAAUCACUGCAAAUACGCCAUGUCUCACCUCUCCUCCAUUUCAUUACCCAGCCCCAUGAAUAUGAACAGAACAAGGAAGAAAAUCACAUAUAUGAUACUCUUCAUUCAACUAACCUUAUGUUAUAAUUAUAUUACACCUACUACCUUCAGUUCUAAUUGCAUAUUAAACCUACUACAAUGAACUUUUUUUUCCAAUAAUUCAACAAUCUACCAAUAAUAGUACGGCUCUAACAGCAGAUUUAUGUUCAGGACUUCAGGGCCCACGUGACCUCUAUAUAUUCUAAAACCUACAGUAACAGCAUCAAAAGUGCCAUGUUAAUGAAGAAAGUGAUGUCCUAAACUAAUAACAGAUUAUAAUCACUUGUUACAGGUUUUGGGCAAUUUAUAAAACCAAAAUCAAGUCACUAUUAGCUAUAGACAACCACUAAACCCAAGGAAACGAAUGCAAAGAAUAUAAUGUCACAAAACGGGGGGAAAUCCACAAUUAAAGUAAUAAGAGAGAAAACAUGCCCUUACCUGAUAACUUAUAAACCAUCUGCCACAAGAAUGCAUUGUGAUGGACAAAUAGCCAUUUAUAUUGAGAUUUCUUUAGUUUCUAUAAGUGCCAUGAGAAUAACUGG